rnacentral:lncRNA from 1 species
CUAACUUUAAACAUCAGCUAUCUGAGCAGCUAACCGAUCGCUGCAGCUGUACAUAGUCCAUCUGUAAAUAGCCCACCCAAUCCACAGACUACAAAUGUCGGUGAUGUUUGUGUCCAGUAUGAAGGAAGUUAAAGUUAGUUGUUGGUGACCUGCAGCGAUACAGACGAAGAGUACCUGCUGUCCCGAAGGCUUCUGCCCUACGACCUUGGCUACGGUGCUAACAGUCAGAGUGAAGCAGAGACAGAUCAGACUCCAGAUCAUGUUGUAGUUGAGGGAAGCAGCACAACGGACAAAGAACCGACCAGAUUCUCCACAGAGGAGUUUCCCGUUUCAACUACCGACAAGCGUGUCCUUUACAGGAUCUAUAAAGAGGAAACCAACGAGCAGAGAACAAUCCUCAGAAUCGUAAAUGCUCUUACCACUCUGGAGGACUUCAAGAGACUAUCCCUUUGGUGUCUGAGGGUCCUAUCCCGGCCAAACGUGUGCCACCCUAUGGGACUCCUAAUCACGGCCGGAUGUGAUACAGUGGAUUUGAACCAGGGACUGUAGUGAGGCCUCUUGCACUGAGAUGCAGAAGUGCCUUAGACCACCUCGCCACUCGGGAGCCUAUGCAGAAGUGCAGACUGACUGAACUUAAAUAAUAAAAUAAAAAAAU